GAUGAACGCUAGCGGCAGGCUUAAUACAUGCAAGUCGAGGGGCAGCAGGAUUGUAGCAAUACAGUUGCUGGCGACCGGCAAACGGGUGCGGAACACGUACGCAACCUUCCUUUAACUGGAAGAUAGCCCACCGAAAGGUGGAUUAAUACUCCAUAAUAUAACUGAAUGGCAUCAUUUAGAUAUUAAAGCUCCGGCGGUUAAAGUUGGGCGGGCGUCUGAUUAGGUAGUUGGCGGGGUAACGGCCCACCAAGCCUUCGAUCAGUAGCUGAUGUGAGAGCAUGAUCAGCCACACGGGCACUGAGACACGGGCCCGACUCCUACGGGAGGCAGCAGUAAGGAAUAUUGGUCAAUGGACGCAAGUCUGAACCAGCCAUGCCGCGUGGAGGAUGAAGGCCCUCUGGGUUGUAAACUUCUUUUCUUUGGGACGAAACCCCUGUUUCUACGGGGACUGACGGUACCAGAGGAAUAAGCACCGGCUAACUCCGUGCCAGCCGCCGCCGUAAUAC
rnacentral:rRNA from 1 species